rnacentral:rRNA from 1 species
UACGGGGGGAGCAAGCGUUGUUCGGAUUUACUGGGCGUAAAGGGCGCGUAGGCGGUCGUGACAAGUCACUUGUGAAAUCUCCGGGCUUAACUCGGAACGGUCAAGUGAUACUGUCGGACUAGAGUACAGAAGGGGCAACUGGAAUUCUCGGUGUAGCGGUGAAAUGCGCAGAUAUCGGGAGGAACACCAAUGGCGAAGGCAGCUCGCUGGACGUUACUGACGCUGAGACGGCGAAAGCGUGGGGAGCAAACAGG